rnacentral:tRNA from 1 species
GGGUGAUUAGCUCAGCUGGGAGAGCACCUCCCUUUGGGAGAGCACCUCCCUUACAAGGAGGGGGUCGGCGGUUCGAUCCCGUCAUCACCCACCA